rnacentral:rRNA from 1 species
UCGAGCGAACGGACGAGAAGCUUGCUUCUCUGAUGUUAGCGGCGGACGGGUGAGUAACACGUGGAUAACCUACCUAUAAGACUGGGAUAACUUCGGGAAACCGGAGCUAAUACCGGAUAAUAUUUUGAACCGCAUGGUUCAAAAGUGAAAGACGGUCUUGCUGUCACUUAUAGAUGGAUCCGCGCUGCAUUAGCUAGUUGGUAAGGUAACGGCUUACCAAGGCAACGAUGCAUAGCCGACCUGAGAGGGUGAUCGGCCACACUGGAACUGAGACACGGUCCAGACUCCUACGGGAGGCAGCAGUAGGGAAUCUUCCGCAAUGGGCGAAAGCCUGACGGAGCAACGCCGCGUGAGUGAUGAAGGUCUUCGGAUCGUAAAACUCUGUUAUUAGGGAAGAACAUAUGUGUAAGUAACUGUGCACAUCUUGA